ACUAAUUAGGCUCUUGUUACCAGUUAGCAAAGCGUCAAAGGUGGCACCGUGCGCUCGGAAUCUAGGCCGGCUUUUGUCCUCGUUUCUCCCGGUCGGCGUUCGGAAGGUGACGCGCGCGGAACAGAGGGAAAUCUGACACCCAGCGAGCGGACGCCCCUCCGGCGGGCGCACCGGUAACACGACGCCGGCUGCCGGUCGGGGUUAGGGCGCGAGGCGUUCAGGUUACCAAAGUGCCCAGGCUGACGUCAGUAGCGCUAGUGACAUGUCAAACGUAAUGCCUCGAGAAACCUUUGAAUAAGAUGGGCUGCGCUUUCCACGUCCGUCCUGCCUGAGACACGAGGUCCGUCUGGCCGCUGUUGGCCGACUUCGGAGAUGUCAGCUGGGAGGAAGAAGAAGAAAAGCAACACGUCAAACGUCUACCAAAUGCGGUGGCGUCGAGAGCUCUGCAAUUUUUCCAGUGUCACACUUGGACAAACGUGCAGGACGGGAAACAUCUCAUCUGACACACAAUCCUCGACGGUGGACUGUGCUGAUCCCGAACGCAUUUGUGCGGCUUCUUUUCCUUUUUCAGUUUUUCAAAAGAUACAAUCGGAAAAAGAAAAACAACACAAAUUCCCAGUGAACGUGCAAGUUGCCCAAAAAGGCGCCAGGCCACAAAUCUUCAAAGAAAACUGUAGCCAACCCUUCAUGACGUGUUUCCAUUGACAGGAGAGUCCUCCUACAGCACAGACGCCGCCUGCCGCUUCCUGAAUUCCGAGUAACCCGCUGACGCGGCUCUGACCGACACCGGAGAUGACCGAUGAUCCGAUUCAGACGAAAUCGUCUGUGCAGUUGUUCUUUUCAUCCACCCGAUCCCAAUUUGUUCAUCAGUCUCAUACAGUUUGUUUCGCAUUGUGCUGAGUGGACCGCAUCACACAGACAGCUGUAUCGAAUACGAUACGAUUCACUCGAUACACAUUCUUAUAUCGAUGAUGACAAUACGAUGAUCACUGUGUCGCCAUAAAGUGAUGAGGAACAAAGUCAGGAUCUCCCUGCAUGCAUCAGCCAGGCUGUCGGUGGCGCUGGACCCGAGAGAAAACUACAGAUUGCAGCGUUUAAGGAGAAGCCCCCCGGGUCGGGCGGCUGACGGAGAGAGAAAGACACAUAUGGAGCGUGAGGAAAAGAAGUGCAGAAAGAUUGGAAGGAAAGUGCCGUAGCUAUUGAGGAGGAAGUGGGCCAGCGUGAAUGGAGGCCAGAUGGACACGCAAGCCCCCAGCAUGCUCGUCUUCCUGGAAUGAAGCCCAUUCAGUGACGUACAGCGAUGCUUCCGAUCCCUCCGCAGUGGGAAUACAAUGAGGAUUACGCCUCUUAUGUAAUCUUGUGAUACUUCCAUUUUUGCGCACCUUAAUGUUAGCCGGAGAGCUUUUCGCCUUUCUGUUCCGGUGCCGCGCUCCAGCCUUCAUUUGGACGCCCCCCCCACCCCACUGUUUACCAGGAUGAGUCGAUCCACACAACAGUGACAAUAUUCCCAAAGCCCAACGGUAAAGUUUAAAUCUCUUGUGGGUGGUAACAGUGGGGGGCACUUAGCCGGCAUUUGACUCGUCACUCUUUCUACUGAAGACGUGAAAGUGGGGCCCACUAAAAAUAGUGCCUUUAUGGCUUUAUGUAAGCCAGUGGGAGUGGGUGGGUCUGAAAUGGUCGUGAAGGGGAAAAGAAGCGUGUGUGUGUAUAUAUAUAUAUAUAUAUAUAUAUAUAUAUAUAUAUAUAUAUAUAUACA